CGGCGGACGGGUGAGGAACACAUCGGAAUCUACCCUGUCGUGGGGGACAACGUAGGGAAACUUACGCUAAUACCGCAUACGACCUUUGGGUGAAAGCGGGGACCCGCAAGGGCCCCGCGCGAUUGGAUGAGCCGAUGUCCGAUUAGCUAGUUGGCGGGGUAAUGGCCCACCAAGGCGACGAUCGGUAGCUGGUCUGAGAGGAUGGCCAGCCACAUUGGGACUGAGAUACGGCCCAG
rnacentral:rRNA from 1 species